CCUACGGGAGGCAGCAGUGGGGAAUAUUGCACAAUGGGGGGAACCCUGAUGCAGCGACGCCGCGUGAGUGAAGAAGUAUUUCGGUAUGUAAAGCUCUAUCAGCAGGGAAGAAAAUGACGGUACCUGACUAAGAAGCCCCGGCUAACUACGUGCCAGCAGCCGCGGUAAGACGUAGGGGGCAAGGGUUAUCCGGAUUUAUGGGGUUUAAAGUGUGCGUAGGCGGAAUGUCAAGUCAGCGGUAAAAAUUCGGGGCUCAACCCCGUCGUGCCGUUGAGACUGAUGUUCUUGAGUGGGCGAGUAGUAUGCGGAAGGCGUGGUGUAGCGGUGAAAUGCAUAGAUAUCACGCAGAACUCCGAUUGCGAAGGCAGCAUACCGGCGCCCAACUGACGCUGAAGCACGAAAGCGUGGGUAUCGAACAGGAUUAGAUACCCGUGUAGUC
rnacentral:rRNA from 1 species